AUUAAGAUGUGGUCCACAACAUGGUGAAUGUUGAGAACCCCUAACCAAUGGAACCUAGAUGAGAGACAUUUAGAGUCUUUUUGCUGUUGUUUCUGAAGUGCGAAUCAGACCCCCCGCACAUACCACCACAAAGAAUUUAUCAGAAGAAGCUGGGAUGGAACUGGCAAGGAAAUUAUAGCUCCUGGAGAAAAAAAAUGAAUGUGCCCACCUCACCAAAAGGCCAUGUGACCUCGUUGAUAGAGCCCUGGGACUUGGAAGACCUGGAUUCUCUUCCCAGCUCAACCAGUGACCUUGUGCCUCAGUUUCCCCCACCUAUAAAAUGGAGAAAAUGAGGCCAAUCUCUUUUGUGAAAUGCCAUAAGACCUUCUGAUGAAAAGCAAGGUACUGCUAUUGUUCUAAGCAUCAUCACCCUGUCUAUAUUCCAUAGUAAUGUUUGCCAGUCUGAUACACUUUCUUUCUGCAUUGUGAGAAGAAGGAAGUGCUGUGGCUAAACUAAACAGCACAGCUUAUCUCAGAAACAGCUUGUCCUAGAAACUUCAAGUGAAGAUCAUGACGAGAUGGAACACUUCCCUUGACUUCAGUAGCCUUUGGAUCAAGGCUCAAGUGCCCAGAACUAAUUUUUAAUAUUUGGGAAGUUAUUCUCUGUUGAAUUAGGAACAUCAGAAUGAUCCAUUACAGAUUCCAGGGGAGUUAAAAAAAAACAUCAAAUGACUGUUGGAAGCCUAAAUGUUCUUUUAAAGUACAUUUCUAGCCCCAUUUCCUUAUGGAAAUAGCCUUAAAAGGGUAACUCGAUUGAUAAGGUGGUUUUUCACAGUGACUUUUCUACAAUAAAUAGGUAAAAUCACAGCUUGCCUCCAACCUCACCAGCUGUGCUUUUGACUGAUACCUCCCUGGCUACCAGACAACAGCUCCUAAGUCAAUUAUGCUCCUGGCAUAACUGUGCAUGCCUUAACUGGGAAACGCUGACUGCUGUAAAGUUUUGAUUUUUUUUAAUAUAUUAACCUUCACUCUGGAUUUAUUGUGGAUCUGAUGGUUGGUUUUAAAAUAUUGGUGCUCUUUUAAUAGUAUUUCAUUUUAACUCUGAAAAGAUCCGAUAUUCACUGUCAACCUUAACAAAGUUCUGUGUCUGGGUAAAAUAUUUAUAUAGCUGUCAAGCUUGUCUCUGCUUAGACUGCCUGAAGCAGACACCAUCCUUCUUGAUGGCCUGGCAAGCACCUAGAGCAAACUGAUCAUUACCAUAUAUAAUAAUAACAAUAUACUGAAAUUCAUUGGGUUACAUUAGUAAUAGGAAUAAUGAGGUGACAUGAGGAGGUUGGAGGUUAGUGAAUUAAUGGCACAGCUCUUUAUUAUUUAGAUUUGUUUUAAUUUAAUCUACAAUUCUACUACUGAUAGUUAUUAAGUUAUGCGCCCACCCCUAAAUCUCCAACUGCUAGAAGCAUCUGGCACUGACCACAGGCAGAUACACAAUACUGGGCUAGAUGGACUUAUUGGUCUGACCCAGUGUGGAUGUUCUGUUCUUGACUUUAAAUUUUUCAAGACAGUCCAGGGCAUUAGCCUUGGAGUUGGGAGACCUGGGUUCACAUCCCUGAUUCACCACAAUUCUCUCUUUUUUCGCCUUGGGCAGGAGGUAAUAGUGCUUCCUGAUCUCACAGAGGUGUUAUGACAAUAAUUACAUUGAAGGUGAUGAGGUGCUCAGAUACUAUGGUGAUGAAGUACCCCGACCUCAUCAGUAGCCUCAUUGAAUUUGAGACCUGCUUCUAUGACCAUUGUAGUCCAGAUAAGUGUUAUCAUUCACUUCAAAGCGAGCAGGAUCAAGGCCUUUAGCCCUGAUUCAGGAAGAUGCAUGCCUAUCUUUAAGCAUAUCAAGAGUCCCAGUGAAGUCAAUGGUGCUACUAACAUGAUUUAAGUUAAGCAGGUACUGAAGCACUUUGCUGGAUCAGUGCCUCAGUUGGGAAGAAUCGUUUUCCACCACUGAAUGGGCUGGAGCUCCAUCUCCAAAUGCCAUAGAUCUCCCAGGAUUCACUGAAACUAGGAUAUCCUGAAUUCAAGUCCAGUGUCUUACCCACAAACCCAUUCUUCCUCUCCCACAUCUUCACCAUACUGCGUGUAAUAGAUUUUUCUCUUCUGUUCCUCACUCCAUCAUUCUCAACCAUGUCAGGAGCGUCUUGCUCAAUGUAUGUUUUCCAGUUUUCAACACCAAAAAUACACCUUGUUUUAUUUCACAAGCCCAUUGCACCCUCUUCCAUCUUCACAGGGGCCUUUCUCGUUCCACUGAGCUAGAUAAUUCCCUUUGUGUUUCAUAAUAAGAUCCACAGAUGAAAAGCGCAACAAUUAGUGCAAAGACUUCUUCAUUAUUACUAAUAUAAAUUCAGGGCAGAAUUACAGAAGCAUUUAACCAAACUGCAGUGGGAAUCUGGAUGAUAUGUACGCAUUAUUUACUACAUUUUUUUUACCUCUGGUUUCUUUUUCUGUUGGUCCUUGGUUUUGUGUGUGUUUGUUUUAAUAUAUAGCUCUUUAACCCCUUAAUGUGGUUGGGUUGGAUCUUAUAUUAUUUUUGCAUCCUAAUGGCUAGGAAUGAAAUGUGCCACCUCUGCUGAUAUUGUUAUUAAUCCUGUAGUCACAGAAUAAUAGAUGACAGAGAUGGAAAAGACCUCUGAAGCUAUGUAAUCUGUCCCCAUCCCUCCCCAGGCACUCUAGCAUUCUUCCCUAUGGCAUAUCUCUAGCACUUUGCCUAGCCAAGUUUUAAAUGUCUCAAGUAAUGAGGUUUUUCAUGGGGCUACUAAUCAUCUUGCCUCUGAUUAUUGCUCUGGCUGAUGGAGUUCGCGUCUCUCUCCCUCUCCUGAUUCAUUUCUCUCUCUCUUUACUGCCUAUAGGCCCAACCCACCCCUAGCCCUCUGUCUUGUACCAAGCUUGAGUAGCCAGGCUUGGUGCAGGAGUUUUCUACAGGAGUCGAGGAGUCCUGAUCUCCUGGCCAUUCCUUUGAUUCUGGUCCACAGGGAUUCACACCCAACAGAGUGGCUUUCUCUCCUCCCAUUGCCCAGCCUUGCAGCUUGAGUGGGGACCCGCACAGUCGCUUACGUACACAUGCAGUAAAUCCGCACUCAUUCCUCCUUUACAGCUGCAGAAAGAUCCCCACUGUCUUUCCUCUGGUUUUCUGGUUCUUGUUCCACUAUUUCCUGCCCCCCCCACUCCAAUUCUCUAUUAUUCUUUGUAGCACCCUCUCAAUGUGGCUAUUUUCUACCUUUUGUUCCUGUUACUCCCUUUGCAUUUUCAUUCUGAUUUCCCUUCCUUUUUAGGUUCCUUUUCUCACUUUGAUUUUUUCUCCUCUUUGUACUUACAUUGCUCAUCAGCCUUCGCCACGACAGGCAGGACAAUUCCUCUUCGACAGGGAAGGAAGGAUGGGCUGUGGUUCAGAAACCAGAUUGUGGGGUGGGGGCGCUCCAUGAGACCUACAUUCAUUUCCUGGCUCUGCCCACACUUCCUGGGCGAGUCAAUUACUCUGGGCGUCAGCUCCCCACUUCUCCGAUGGGGGAUGAUAAGAGUGCUUUACCUCCAGAGCUGGGGGGAGGGGAAAUCCCUUAUCAUUUGCAAAGGUGAUAGGAUUAGUAGACAGAAAAACUGGUUGGGAAAUUGGGGUGUAAAAACCCACAAGAGUGAUCUGGGCAGUUAUCAGUUCUGAAUCUCUCUUCCAUCCCUAUCAAAUAACGAGCAAAGCUUCAGAGAAGAAAAAAACCCUGUGAGAAUCUUGUGGGUCCAGUGCAGGAUGAUGAAGAACAAAACUCGACAGACAAAUUUGGUGGUGUAAGGACUGUGGUAUCUGAGUCUCAUUUACCCUAAGGCAGUGGUCCCAAAAUUUUUACCUCAUGCCCCCCACCCCUGUUUUCACACACCCCUUCCCGCCCCACCCCAGAGCCAGGGCUGGGAGUGGGGCCGUAGCUCUGGGAGAGGGGCAUGCAGGCGGGGGUAAGGGAGCCAAGGCUGAGGCCACAGUUGGGGGUGGGGCCAGGAGCAGAGCCUAAGUUAGGGGUCUCGGAUGGCAGCCAGGGGUCAGCCCUCGGGGCUCUGAGGUGGGGCUGGAGCCAGGGCCAGGGCCAGGGCCAGGAGCGGAGCUGGGUGGUGCUCCCUCCCUGCCUCUCCGUGGGGCCUGGCCUGGGCCCCUGCUGUGCCCUACUGAACAUUCCUCCGUGCCCCACUAGAGGGGCAUGCCCCAUAGUUUGGGGACCUCUGCCCUAAGGUUUUUUUGCACCACUCUGGCUGCAUAAAGGAGCCGUACCGUGGGCAUAAAUUACUUUACACUGUCAGAGUAGGGCUUAGUGAAACCGAGGCCAUGUCUACCUGACAAAAUUAAGUCGACUUAACGUAGGUCGGCACACAGCGGCCGUGGUAAUUACAUCAUUUGCGCGUGCCUACACUUUGAUCCCUGUAUCGGCAGUGAAGUUUCUCACCAGGAGCGCUCAUAUCGAUUGUACUGUCAGCUGGGGGGCAUUGUGGGAAGGCUCCUGAAAGCCAGUAACAGUCGACAUAAGCAAAGCAGUGUGUACUCUGACUCUGCGUCGACCUAACAACAUCGACCUUGGCUCUAUGCUGCUCAUGGGGGUGGAGUUAUUAAGUCGACGUCAUGGGGCAGUUAUGUCGGCAGGAGCAAAAUUUAAAUUUAGACCUUCAGUAGUUAGGUCAAGAUAAGCUGCCUUGCGCCGACCUAGCUCUGCUGUGUUGGCCAGGCCUGAGAAUCAAGCUCUUCGAUUUUGGUAAAACGUGCUAUAAUAUAUCUCAAACCCAUUAUGUGAAAAAGGAAUGGUUGGGCUCAGUUUGCAAACUGGCUGGUGGGCUUUGAGCACAGGGAAGUGGGCAGAGUGUUAUAUUUAAUAUCUUCAUUAAUGAUCUAGAAGAGGGAGUCAGCAGCAGCAAACAGAGGAUGUUUACUGAUUUUUUUUUCCUCUUUGCCGAGCCCUUAAACGACCAUGUGCAUAUGUCACUCAGCAUUCCCAGGAAUUGAUACGCAACGUACAGCCUCAGACAGGGGGUGAAGCUAGCUCCCUUGUCCCUCUCAAGAGAGAAGCCAGAUCCUUCACUGGUGUAAAUCACUAUAGCUCUGUUGAAGAGACCACCAGCAAUUUACACCAGUGACCUGCAGGCUGCAGCAGUUCUUUAAAAGAAAAGAUAAUAACAACAGUACGAAAUUAAUCACAGGCAGAGCUGUCAGCUUUACAGUCCCCGACAUGCGACCCUCCUUGGACGGUAUUGCUCACGCUGGGAAGCUGGUUUCCCUGGGGGCAGGGAGUCUGACCUCUUCCAGCAGAGGCAGAAGUGAAGCCCCAGGGAAAUGAAAAGAAAGGAACAUUUUUAUUCUGUCUGGUUGGAUCCUUGUCACCGGGGACUCAGCAAAAGCUGAGCUGUCCCUGGAAUACCAGACACACAAUACUGACUAUUCAAUAGAGGGCUGGCAGUUUGCUAAAGCCAAAGUGGAAAUGACCCAGUCAGAAAAAAAAAUUGACAGGCUACUCCAGUCCUCUGAGGUACAAUGGUCCUUUUCCUUCUGCAGGAGCCCGCUUCUCCCUCCCUACACACACACAGAGACACACCAUCCUUCCUUCUUAACAAGCAGGAUAGCUGAAUAGUGGGAGGUUGACAAUCAUGGACACUGAAGUCCUCUCCUGACCAACAGAAUGGGUCUAACAAGGGCAGUAGCAAUGCAAUCUCUCCGGGUUGUCCCACUGCUGUGCCCCAAUCCUACCCCAGAAGUGGCCAUCUGGAAGAGACGGAGGAUAGUUCAGUCUCCAGGGCCCAAUGGGACUCUUGGCAACCUCUGCUGAGGUUACCUGUUGAUGUGCUAUAUUUUUGUGAAGGGUGGUCAUGAUGUGGACUCUGGUCUUUUGGAACGGGAUGGGAAGCACCAAAUGAAUUACCUAGGCUACCACAUGACCAUCAAAUGGUGGUAACUUUUCAGUCAUAUCCCUUGAACAUUUUGAACCAGCACACUUUGAGGUGAAAGGAUCCACAUCCCAUUACCACGGCCCUUGUCCUAUCCUUUCUAGCUCCAUCAAGUGUGUGCACAUGCACACGCGCACCACCCCCACACACACACACAGUUACUUUAUCACCAGUAAUUUCUCUAGCUGAGUAUUAUUUUCGGCCGCCUUCAUGAUUUGCUCACUCACAUUCUCACUCCUCUCCUGCUCUAGAAUUUUCCAAACUAGCACGAUCUUCCAGUAUGCUUGGAGGGACAAGAUGGAAGGCAGAGAACUUUGCCUUUACACUGCUUUUUCUGAUAUUUCUCUAGCACCUACUGCCAUGCUGCGUGAGCAGCAGCCCUUGAAAAUUUCCUAUAUGCAGGGCAUGUUCGGCUCAUGGCAGUGCAGAACAGUGUGCAGAUUCUAGGGGUGAACUCCUGGCUCAUUGAACUCCCAUUAACGUCAGCAGGGUCAAGAUUUCACCCCUACCAGGGUCCAGUCUGAUAGGGCUGGGUGGGUGUCCACUGGACACCGCUCCACAGCGGGUGUGACGGCUCGCCCUUUGACAGGACUCAGAUUGGGACAUUGAGUCCAUCAGCACCCCGUGCCCAGUCUCCCUUCCUCCUGUUCUCCCACGGUCCAUUGCCCUCCGGGCUUCCCUCUUCUGUCCCUUACCUGCCAGGCUAUUCAGAGCCAGGAGCAAUGUCAGGGCUGUGCAGGCAUCUGCAGAGGAAGCUCAGCUACCGUGGUUGCAAUGAGGGGACGCACAAUGCUGCCUGACGGUCUGCUGGGCCCUGGGAUGCAGAGAAUAGCUGUGGUACAGGGCAUUCUAACCUCCCCCAAGACAUGCCCUCUGCCCCUUCCUACCAUGGGGCGGAGAGCCGGGUACAGCCCUUAGGCCAGUUUGCUCUGGGUGAGGACCCUUCUGAAGGGGGUAUUCACAGGGAGCCCUAUCUGCCCCCCUUUAAGGGCUCUCCAUGCUGCAUAAAGGGGACUUGAUGUAACAGAGUAUCAGGCCCUUAGGGCUGACAGAAGGUUGCAUUGUAACAGUCCUGCCUUGAUCUAGCCAGAUAUAGUGGGCAACUGAGCCCUGCAGAAGAGCUCUGUGUAAGUUCAAAAGCUUGUCUCUCCCCUCAACAUAGAGGUUGGUCCAAUAAAAAAUAUUGGUUCCCCCACCUGGUCUCCCAUCACAGCCACGUCAUCUAAGGGUUGGCGGAUUUCUGAUGAACAUAAACAGGCAUUCCAAUGAGCUUAGUACCCUAACUGAGAGACACUCACCCAGCUCCAGAACUCAGACAGGGUUUGGCAUUGGUCUCCAAACGGCUCUAGCCCACCGUGUCUCCCACAAAAAAAAAACAAAACCCCAACCGUUCUCCUCUGCACUCAAGCAUCCUCUGAGGUUUAUCAAUUCCCCUUAUCAAAGCACCCAGAUCAAGAUGAUGAUCCGGCUUAACUCAAGAAGGAGCUCCCGCCUGUGCUCGAAAGAUGAGAUCACGCCAGGCUACAUAAUCAGUCUGUGUAAAAGAUCAAUCCUCCCACACACACACACACACACACACACACCCACACCAAAGAAGCGGAAAACUAAACGUACUCCUCAAAGUGGAGGGGAGAAAAACAACCUCCUCACUCUACGGGAAGUAAAAAAAACCCAACAGUGAUUAAUACAGGUCCUAAAUGAUACAAAGAAAUAAAAUGAAAUAGAGGGAAGCUAGAUCAACCACUGACCCACUGUGUGACUUUGCCUUGUGUCACUUCGCCUCUGCUGCAACUCAGUCCCACUCCCAUCCUUUGCUUUGGCUUUUUAGAUAUUAUUUUGCUGGGCAGGGGCUGUGUUGUACAUCCACCAUCUUACAGAGAAUGGUAAUAAAAAAGAGAUGCAACUCAUCAUCCCGUAGGGCCACGUUCUGUAGUCACAGCGUUCACGCCAUGAUAGGGUAGGCUGUAAUAUAGGUGGAGGAUGUGUUUAUAUUGGCUUCCUUGCUAGCCUGUCAAUCCAAGUGAAUCCUCUUUUCUUGGAAAUACAUAAGGGCACGAAUCAUGUAUCUGAAAAUUAUAUCCUACCUUCUUUUCCAUUCACACACUGCUAGAUUAACGCAGGGGGUUUAGAGGCUGCAGCCUGGGCCUCGGAUUUUGAAAAGUCCCCCAAACUAUAGAUCCGUGGUCAGUAAAAGCAACGUGUGACACUCUAGUAUGUGCUGAAAUGAAAAUGUUUUUGUUUGGUUUAACUUGCAUUUGGCUUGCUAUUGGUCUCUCACGUUUAAAAACCAGAACUGAAAUAAAGGGUAAUUUCACAAUGGAGGGUUUAGCAUUGGGCCUGGGUGUUGGUAAAUCAGUAAAGGAAGGAAUUAAAUAUGCAAAGAAGACCCCCCAAAACUGUAACAGCUCCGGGCACCUAUCAGGCAUACUCCAGCCCUGCACCCAUCCAACCUGAUUGAAGUAGAUACAGAUCUAAAGCUGCAACUCUGAGCACAACUGGGUUAUAUGGGCCUUAACCUAUGGGCUGUGUGGGCAUGGCUCCUCCCAGUGCCAUCCGUCUCUGCUGGAUCUUGUGCAGCUCAGUUUAAUUAUAGGAGAGAUUUGUUUCUGAGAAGUAGAGAAAAGCCAAACAAUCAGCCCCUCUGGAGCUGCCGGAGAAGUUGGAUACCCA